rnacentral:misc_RNA from 1 species
CCAAUAGCGUAUAUUAAAGUUGUUGCAGUUAAAAAGCUCGUAGUUGAAUUUCGGAAUCAAUAUAUCGGUCGUGCCUCUGGUACGCACUUAUUUAUUGAUUUCUCACUUCUGACGAAUCAUAAUGUCAUUAGUUUGGUGUUAUGAGGAAUCAGGACUGUUACUUUGAAAAAAUUAGAGUGUUUAAAGCAGGCUCGCGCUUGAAUACAUUAGCAUGGAAUAAUGAAAUAGGAUGUUUGAUCUUAUUUUGUUGGUUUCUAGGAUCGACAUAAUGAUUAAGAGGGAUAGUUGGGGGCAUUAGUAUUCAAUUGUCAGAGGUGAAAUUCUUGGAUUUAUUGAAGACUAACUACUGCGAAAGCAUUUGCCAAGGAUGUUUUCAUUAAUCAAGAACGAAAGUUAGGGGAUCGAAGACGAUCAGAUACCGUCGUAGUCUUAACCAUAAACUAUGCCGACUAGGGAUCGGAUGAUGUUAUUUUUUAAUGACUCAUUCGGCACCUUACG